AACGAACGCUGGCGGCGCGCCUAAUACAUGCAAGUCGAGCGAGAAGACGUAGCAAUACGUUUGUAAAGCGGCGAACGGGUGAGGAAUACAUGGGUAACCUACCCUCGAGUGGGGAAUAACUAGCCGAAAGGUUAGCUAAUACCGCGUACGCUCCUUGGACUUCGGUUCAGGGAGGAAAGCGAUACCGUGGGUAUCGCGCUCUUGGAUGGGCUCAUGUCCUAUCAGCUUGUUGGUGAGGAACGGCUCACCAAGGCUUCGACGGGUAGCUGGUCUGAGAGGACGAUCAGCCACACUGGCACUGCGACACGGGCCAGACUCCUACGGGAGGCAGCAGUAAGGAAUAUUGCGCAAUGGGCGAAAGCCUGACGCAGCGACGCCGCGUGGGGGACGAAGGUCUUC
rnacentral:rRNA from 1 species